rnacentral:tRNA from 1 species
CGCGAUAGCUCAAAUAGUAGACCAGAACACUGAAAAUCCUCGUGUCACCAAGUUCAAA